CUUUUAGAAGCUCCGGUGCCUGACCUUCAGGACUCCGAGGAACCCUAUGACUUUCGCUUUGUGAAGUGGAUGAUCAAGAACAAGGGUCUAGCAGCCAUCCCGGUCUCUGCCUUCUACAGCCCUCCACAAAAGAAGAACUUUGAUCAUUACAUCCGUUUCUGCUUUGCAAAGGAGGACGCCACUCUAGACGCCGCAGCCGACAUCUUGCAAAAGUGGAGUCAGGAGAAACCUGGUCAAUAAAGUGGCUCCUUUUCCGCAGUCUUUGUCGCUGGAGCUUUGGCACGAGUCGGAGAGCUCUCGGCAAAGUUUCCCACUGCCGAACUGCGCCACGGGAUAUCCAAGGGCUCUGCCCUCCUGUCCGCGUGGGAGAAAUCAUCCCCGAGAACUGAUUUGACGGGCGAUUCUUUCCUUCCGGUUCUCCAGAAUUGUGAAACUCUCAGGCCCGUUGAGAAGAAUUUGUUGUUCUUGUUUUGAUUUCAGGGCAUCGCUUUCAGUGGGGAGGGUUUCAAGCAGAGGGCUCGAUGCACCUCAUUGGACUUCCUUCGUGCAGUUGUGAAAGAGGUGUGAAAUAGCCUCUUUUAAUGUUCGGCUCUCUUACAGGAGGAAGUCCUUACAGAGCCUUCCUUGGGCCUGCUUCAAUCAGAGCAGUGUGUGUCCCCCCACCUCCCCCCACAUUCUUUUAUGAACCGUCCUGGAAGUGGCCUUGUAAUUAUUCUAUGCUGCUGAGUCCUUUUUUUUUUGGCCCUGUGGUCAGAUACGAGCUUCCCCAUCAUAGGCGAGGAGGGUCACCCUCUUUGCUUCUUAGUGUCAUUUGUCCCCUGUCCCUAAAGGGUAGGAUGGACGUUAGCUUUCCACACAAGACUUGGCAAAGCAGGAGAAAUAGGGCCAGGCCUCCGAGUCUCACCCUUCCUACACACGCACACGCAGUUUGCACACGCACAGACUCCUUCCGGGAGCUCUAGGAGAGCUGUGUUGCGCAGUUUGAGUGCCUGUGUUGGGAGGAAUGCGUUUGGACCAGGGAGUCCUGAUGAAGGUGAUCCUGUCCUCCACGUUGCCGGCUCAGGGUUAAGUGCACGGGGGACUCCUGUCGGUCCUGUGGUCCUCCUGAUUUGAUGAUGCUGCACUCUAGGAAAGAAGUCAAGAAAACUGUAGCACUGAUUGCCAAUAAAGGAAGCGUUAUUUCAAAAA